rnacentral:rRNA from 1 species
UACAGAGGGUGCAAGCGUUGUUCGGAAUUAUUGGGCGUAAAGAGCGUGUAGGCGGCCAUGUAGGUCCGUUGUGAAAACUCGAGGCUCAACCUCGAGACGCCGAUGGAAACCAUGUGGCUAGAGUCCGGAAGAGGAGAGUGGAAUUCCUGGUGUAGCGGUGAAAUGCGCAGAUAUCAGGAAGAACACCCGUGGCUAAGGCGGCUCUCUAGUACGGUACUGACGCUGAGACGCGAAAGCGUGGGGAGCGAACAGG